rnacentral:rRNA from 1 species
CAGCCGCCGCGGGAAUACGUAGGUGGCAAGCGUUGUCCGGAAUUAUUGGGCGUAAAGGGCUCGCAGGCGGUUUCUUAAGUCUGAUGUGAAAGCCCCGGGCUCAACCGGGGAGGGUCAUUGGAAACUGGGAAACUUGAGUGCAGAAGAGGAGAGUGGAAUUCCACGUGUAGCGGUGAAAUGCGUAGAGAUGUGGAGGAACACCAGUGGCGAAGGCGACUCUCUGGUCUGUAACUGACGCUGAGGAGCGAAAGCGUGGGGAGCGAACAGGAUUAGAUACCCGAGUAGUCCCUGUCUCUUAUAC